rnacentral:rRNA from 1 species
GUAAGGGAUCUUGCGACAAUGGGCGAAAGCCUGACGCAGCAACGCCGCGUGCGGGAUGACGGCCUUCGGGUUGUAAACCGCUUUUCGAGGGGAAGAGGGAGGACGGUACCCUCGGAAUAAGUCUCGGCUAACUACGUGCCAGCAGCCGCGGUAAAACGUAGGAGGCGAGCGUUAUCCGGAUUUACUGGGUGUAAAGCGCGUGCAGGCGGUCGUGUAAGUGGUGCGUGAAAGCUCCCGGCUCAACCGGGAGAGGACGUGCCAAACUGCAGGGCUAGAGGCAGGUAGAGGCGUGUGGAAUUCCGGGUGUAGUGGUGAAAUGCGUAGAGAUCCGGAGGAACACCAGUGGCGAAGGCGACACGCUGGGCCUGGCCUGACGCUCAGACGCGAAAGCAUGGGGAGCGAACGGGAUUAGAAACCCCGGUAGUCCC